AAAGGUGGCUAUACUACCGCUUUUGGAUGGGCCCGCGGCGCAUUAGCUAGUUGGUAGGGUAAAGGCUUACCAAGGCAAUGAUGCGUAGCCGAAUUGAGAGGUUGAUCGGCCACAUUGGGACUGAGACACGGCCCAAACUCCUACGGGAGGCAGCAGUAGGGAAUCUUCCACAAUGGGCGAAAGCCUGAUGGAGCAACGCCGCGUGGGUGAAGAAGGUCUUCGGAUCGUAAAACCCUGUUGUUAGAGAAGAAAGUGCGUGAGAGUAACUGUUCACGUUUCGACGGUAUCUAACCAGAAAGCCACGGCUAACUACGUGCCAGCAGCCGCGGUAAUACGUAGGUGGCAAGCGUUAUCCGGAUUUAUUGGGCGUAAAGGGAACGCAGGCGGUCUUUUAAGUCUGAUGUGAAAGCCUUCGGCUUAACCGGAGUAGUGCAUUGGAAACUGGGAGACUUGAGUGCAGAAGAGGAGAGUGGAACUCCAUGUGUAGCGGUGAAAUGCGUAGAUAUAUGGAAGAACACCAGUGGCGAAAGCGGCUCUCUGGUCUGUAACUGACGCUGAGGUUCGAAAGCGUGGGUAGCAAACAGGAUUAGAUACCCUGGUAGUCCACGCCGUAAACGAUGAAUGCUAAGUGUUGGAGGGUUUCCGCCCUUCA
rnacentral:rRNA from 1 species